CCGGACCCCACGGGGGGACGCGCUUCAGGCCCGCCGGCCCUGCUAGGCUCCACUUCCGGCCCCUCGCCCCUUCCUGCGCUCCGCCCGGUCUUUGGUGUUUUAUGUACUCAGGCCCUGACGAAUCGGAGGUCCGGCCAUCCAGGUGACAAGCAUUAUCAGCUACACGUUGCUGAGAGAUGAAAUUGGAUUUUAUAAGCUGCCUUGAAAAUUAUGACAUGUUGAGUUCCUUGCUUUAGUGGAAGCUCGGCUCACACACUACUGAGUUGAAUGGAUCUUUAUCUUGUCUGUUGGUGGGAUUUCUGUACAUGAGUUCUUGAGAGACUACGUAAAGUAGUGAAAGGCUGAACAUUUCUCUGAGAGGUUUGAGGACUGCAGAGUUCCACCCUGACCUCGAUGGAGUGCUCAGAGAGGUCAGCAACGAUAUUUUGGGGAAGCAGACACGAUUGCUUCCUCACCUAGGCUAACUACUGAAAAACCAGGAACUUUCCCCACUAAAGAAAUACUUUGAGAGUUCACUUUUUCAUAAUGGGACAAGUGAUAAUAGAAUGAAGCAACAUUAGUAUUUUUUUUCAAAAGCAAUGGUUAAGCUCUGAGUCAUGAAAAAAGCCAUUGCAGAUCACAUUCUUCAACGGACUUAACCAGCUGAGUAAUCACCAGCCAGUGCCUUCGGCCCUAGACGGUGUAGCUUAAGAGGACCAUUUCUCCUGGCAUUGCGAUAUUGAUCAGCCUUGCUGCCUCCCAUCAGAUACACUUGGCCUUUUCUGCUUGCAACAGUUCCUCCAAGGGCUCUCCAAGGCUGCAGGGAAAUUUGAACACAGAGUCAGAUAUCACAGCAAAGACAAAGUGAUGACACAGAGGAAAACACCACAUGAAGAAGGCAGAGAUUGGAGUAAAGCAUCUACAAGCCCAGGAACACCAACGAUUGCCAGCACAUCACCAGAAACUAGAGAGCAGCAUGAAACAGAUUCUUCCUUGCAGCUCUCAGAAGGAACCCAUACUGCUGACAUCUUAAUUUCAGACUUCUAACCUCCAGAACUGUGAGACAAUAAAUUUCUGUUGUUUUUAGGCACCCAGUUUGUGGUACUUUGUUUCAGC